CCUACGGGGGGCAGCAGUGGGGAAUAUUGCGCAAUGGGCGAAAGCCUGACGCAGCGACGCCGCGUGAGGGAUGAAGGUCCUCGGAUCGUAAACCUCUGUCAGCAGGGAAGAACGGUCACUGUGCUAAUCAGCAGUGAAUUGACGGUACCUGCAAAGGAAGCACCGGCUAACUCCGUGCCAGCAGCCGCGGUAAUACGGAGGGUGCGAGCGUUAAUCGGAAUUACUGGGCGUAAAGCGCUCGUAGGCGGUAUGUCAAGUCAAGGGUGAAAUCCCGGCGCUCAACGUGGGAACUGCCUUUGAAACUGGCAGACUGGAGUGUGUGAGAGGAUAGUGGAAUUCCAGGUGUAGGAGUGAAAUCCGUAGAUAUCUGGAGGAACAUCAGUGGCGAAGGCGACUAUCUGGCACAUAACUGACGCUGAGGAGCGAAAGCGUGGGUAGCAAACAGGAUUAGAUACCCUGGUAGUC
rnacentral:rRNA from 1 species